AUCCAACUGCCUCCAGGCUCGAGAGAAGAUUUGAAUUUUUGGCCAUUGUGGCCUGGGCACAAUGCCUGAGGUCUGAAUUGAAUUGAAUUGGAUUUAGCUUUGCAACAAGAAUCCUUUUCCAAGAAUAAUGCUGGUUAAGAGGUCUGAGAUUUCCCCAGAGGAAAUUAAGUCUUUUUCUCUUCAUGACAGUGGUUUUGGAUGAGCCCAUUCAGAUUUUUUGCUGGAUGUGAGAGCCUGAUUUCUGGGUAACUAUGAGAAAAAGAUCAGUUUGGAAAUGGGGACUUAACCAACUGACAAAAUGUUAAAUAUUCACAAAAAUCAUGUAGCAUGAACCAGAGACAACCUUAAUUAUUUUUUUCCCUGAGUUCUGUAACUCACUGAGAGAGUCUUGAAAUAAAAUGCUAAUUUGCCAAAACCUGGCAAAUAUGCA